rnacentral:rRNA from 1 species
AGGGUGUAAACGCUGCAGACUUGGUGUUGGGAACCCUUCGGGGGUGGCUCAGUGCCGGAGAGAAGUUGUUAAGUCUGCUACUUGGGGAGGUACGUCCGCAAGGAUGAAACUUAAAGGAAUUGGCGGGGGAGGCACCGCAACGGGAGGAGCGUGCGGUUUAAUUGGACUCAACGCCGGACAACUCACCGGGGACGACAGCAAUAUGUAGGCCAGGCUGAAGACCUUGCCUGAAUCGCUGAGAGGUGGUGCAUGGCGUAGACGUCU